GUGUGAGAGAUGGAGCAGGUGGUGGAAACUUUCCUCAGAUGUUUUGCUCCAUAUUGACAUGACAGCAUCACACAGUUGCUGCAGUUUGUCAGCUGUACAUCCAUGAUGAGAAU